rnacentral:rRNA from 1 species
CCGAUAGCGUAUAUUAAAGUUGUUGCAGUUAAAAAGCUCGUAGUUGAAUUUCGGGGUUAGUAGGUUGGUCAUGCCUCUGGUAUGUACUGGUCUCACUGAUUCCUCCUUCCUGAUGAACCUUAAUGCCAUUUAUUUGGUGUUUUGGGGAAUUUGGACUGUUACUUUGAAAAAAUUAGAGUGUUUAAAGCAAGCUAACGCUUGAAUACAUUAGCAUGGAAUAAUGAAAUAGGACGUUCGAUCCUAUUUUGUUGGUUUCUAGGAUUGACGUAAUGAUUAAUAG